rnacentral:lncRNA from 1 species
UUAAAUCAUGUAUCUUAUUUUGCCUUCACUACAAGUAUAUCUUUAGAUGCCAUUGCCACCCAUAAGUCUUGAAGACUAGUUUCGCUCCUCGUGGAUUCAACCUCCACAUAAGUUGAGCUAUGGACAACAAAGGUAUAGGUUAGCGUGAUCAGUCAUCUCUUAUUAAUUCUUCUAGUUUUAACGGAUGCAUAUAACCUGUUCAAAAUAUGACGCGAUCUUACUCAAUGCAUCUAUUGCAGUCCAAUGUCUAGAUAUCGUGACAGUUAAUUUUGAGGAUUUCUUCUUUGUUUGUAAUCGUAGGAGUUGUUCAAUCUUGUCUUCGUUGUCUUAAAGUCUAUCAAUUCUUGGAAUCACAAGGAAGAAGAUUAAUGGUCAGAAACUACGCAAAUAAACAAUGCAUGAGAUGAAGAUUUCCAAACACAGGUUCUUUUUCACCACACAUCUGCCUACUUUGCCUUCCCUGAGAUGAAGCAUGCCUUGCUGCACAUGGAACAUACAGCUCUAAUGGAACCCAAUAUUACAUGAGAAUAAGAACUCAGGAACAGAUUAAAAAAAAAAAAACAGUGAAUCAGUAAUUAAGAGGUUCUUGUAAACGAGAAAGUGAAGAGGUGAAAUAGGCUUAAUCAUUGUAGUGUUACGUUUUACUAAUUUUAGCUUCUCUGAUCAACACAAUAACAACAACAGCAACAUAUAUACCUAGUGAAAUCCCACAAAUGAGGGCUGGGAGGGUAAAGUGUACGCAGACCUUACCACUACCUUGGGGACAUAGGAAGGCUGUUUCUGGAAUACCCUCGGCUCAAAUGUAGCAAAUCCAGGUACAAAGCAUAGAGAGACAAUGAAGAACAUAAAGCAACUAGCAUGGGAACACUACUAAGUCUACUAGAAAUAAAUAAUAAUCAACCACAACUAGUGUGAUAAUCACAAUACAAUAAAAAACAACAUAUUAUAGGUAUAACUAGUGGACUAGUACACGAAAAACACCCAACAACCUAAACCCGCUAGAGCAAGACAACACUCCUACUCGACUAACCUUCUAAGCUAAUACGCGUUCUCCACAUCCUCCUAUCUAAAGUCAUGUCCUCGGUAAUCUCUGAUCAACAAAAGGUUGUUUUUAUUUACAGAAAAAAAAAGGAAUGUUAUCACUCCUAUCACUUUAUCCUGGCUUCAAUACUACAAAAGAAUAAAAGUUAGUUUGAUUCGUAUCGCACUAUUUUGGUUUUGUUUGAGUUCCUCUCUUGUAGACUUUGCAUUGCUUCCCUUGUUAGUUUUUAUGUUUGUCACACCCCUUUUUUAACUCCAAAAAUAUUCAUUUCAAGUUCGAAAGGGUUUUUAUUAUUAAGUGACAAAAGAAAGAUUGUUUCGAAAAGGAUUCAUUAUAUUCAAAACUCAGAGUCGCCACUUGGCAUAAUCGGUGUGCCAAGUCACCAUUGAAAAUCCUUUUUCGAAAAUGAUUUUGACUCUUUUAAACCUAUCUGCGAACAGAGAUUCCGGUUAAGGAAUUCUGUUGACCGAGGGGAAGGUUUUAGGCACCCCUCGAUCUCGUGGUUCGACCACGGUCGCUUGGUGAAGCAUAUCGGCUAAUUUGACAUUACAAAUGUAUAAACCACACAAGAGCACAUAAAACAAUCAAUCAAACACACGAAAUAAAACAAAUCCAAAAUAUAGUGUUCAAUCCCAUUAUACAGUCCAAAAAUAAAAAUGCGAAAAAUAAAUCCCAUUCUAACCUACACUAGUCCCAACUACGCUUCCGUACUUUACCUGAUGCCUCGGGCCUUGAUCACGAUCAUCUUCCGCCAACAUAAUACGUCGGGGCAUUCCCCGGUGAAUAAAUACAAUGAGCCUUGGGCAUUCCCCAACUAAAUGAAUACAUUUUAAUCAAAGUACGAUAAACUCAAAAACAUUCACCACACAUACAUUCAACUUUCAACAUUCAACGAUAUCACUAAACUUGCCUAUCCGAACCUAAACUUUACCUAUUAAGCUCUCGGCCUAAAAUAUGCUCCUAUUGAUUUCAACAACGCCAUCAAGUCAAACAACCAAUGAAUCAAAUUAACCAAAAUUCACCAAUCUUAUCAAUUUUCAUCCCUCCCAAAAUUCAUUUCUUAACCAAACGAUUAAUCAAUUUCAAAGUAACACCAACCAAUCAAAUCGUGACAAUUAAAGAAUGUCAAACACACUGUCAGGAUUAUAUCAUCAAUUAACACGAACCACGCAAAUCACAGCAUCAACACAUCAUGCUACGAUAAAAAUGGAAAAGAUAGAGUUGAAGAAUUAGACCUCAAAUUGACGCUUUGUUAAACGGAGAAAAAGCCUCAUGGAUUCGGAAACCACAAACUAGCAGAACCUCGACCCAAAUGAAACCUCAACUUCGCACAACCAACUUGUUAUAUCCAUUUUUGCUCUAUUUUUCGCCUACUCGAACCUAAAUUGCGAAGUGACAAAAGACCCGUAUUCGAAUGUGUAUGCCCCGUUACUGUGUCAAUCGUGUUCCAAUGAAUUUUGGGUUGUAAUCUGCAGCAUUUGUGGACUGGGGUUUUGUUUUUGUCUCACCAGACCUCGGACAAGGUUAGGCGAUGACAGAAAACCGAAAAAUGGGUUGGAUUUUCUGGUGAUAGUGGCGUUUGUGGCUGGAGUUUAUGGUUUUGGCCAGAAGUGGGGGUAGGAGGUAGCUGGUCGGUGUUUUCGACAGGUUUCGGUGAGGGCUCGCCGGAAAAGUCAAGAGAAACGGCUCUCCAUUCAACCCCCUACUUCCGAUCUCUCCUCGUGUUUUCUAACCUCUCUUAUCCUCCUCUCUCUCUCUUCAAUUCACUCUGUUUUUUCUACUCUCUACGAUUUCUCUAUAUCAGUGAAUCUGGUUUUUGGUGAGUGUCGUGGACAAGAAGAAAGGAAGCUCCCCCUUUCAUUAUGUUAACUGUCAAGAGGAAAAAGAAACCAUUUCUCCCCUCUAUGUUCUGUGGGGCCCCUUUUAAUCUUUUUCGGUGGGGGCCUCGUGAGUGGAAAAAAUGUAUAUUGUAUUCUUUUUUGAGUGAUGUCCACCUUUCCAGUGAAUGUAGUGCAUUCCAUUUUUAGACGGUAGGUGAUGGAAUAAUUCUAUGGACCCCACCUCUAUUUGUUGUCUUGUGAAUUGGUUUCAAAGUGAAUAAAAUGUGAGGGGUAAGGGUUACGUGGGUAGGUAGGGUGUUGGGGGUUGGGUAGUGUAGGUAGUGAGGUGAGGUGUUUCCAUUUGAAAUGGUAGGUUGUUGGUUUGUUAUUUUUUUUUUUUGUCUUUUUUGCGAAGGGAUUAUCGUACGGGGUAGGGUACGCAGUAGGAUAAGGUAAAAAUGGUUGAAAAUAAUAUCGGGGAGGGAUGAAAUUAGGUGUCUACAAUAUUUUCUUCACUAUUUCCUUCUUCUUUGCGCUUGAGUUGAGGGUCUUUUAAGAACAGUCUCUCUAUUUCGAAGAGGUAGUGGUAAGGUCUUCCCUGUACACUCUACCCUUCCAAGACCCCACUUGCAGAAUUUCAUUUGGGGUUGCUAUUGUUGUUUUUGAACAUAGAAAAAAUAAUAUUAGAGAGAAGAAAAAACGAACAGAUUCGAGUUCUUCACAAUUCUAAAACGUAUUCAUGAUAUGGUAGGCCCAAAAUAAGCACUACAAUGAGCUGUGGACAAGUGCAUAAAGCAAAAGUAAUGAAUAGACAUAAAGCAAAAAAUACUUUCCUUUGUCUCUUCAAUUAUUCUCUUACUUUUUGAAAAGAAGAAGGAAGACAGUUUUGCUUUUAUUAUUAAGAAACUUUAGCUAAAGCACUAAGUUGGUAUACUCUGAUUGUCCUUGUAUUCCCAUUAGCUAAGGUUAUUUUGAGACAAAGACACUAGUAACAAACAUUGUUGUACCAAUUACAAGUAAAAAUACUAACAAAAGAGAGAGGGAGAGAAAUCACAGAUCAUUCUUGUUUGCAAAUUACUCUUAGCAUUCAACAGGUAAAAUAUAGUUGUUAAUAUUUGAUAUGAAGAUAGAAACAUUUAUAUUCUCAAAAUUCUUAAAACCAUAUUUGUGGUUCCUUUGUUUUGCUUUGCAUCUUAUCUUACCUUUCUCCAAAAAAAAAAUGAACUUUCUUUUGCAUCUAAUGUAUAUUCAAUUUUCAAUUUUUGUCCUUGUUUUAUCAAGGAACAACUACUUGAGAUUCCAAUAUUGAGACUGAAAGUAUGUUUAUGUUGCCCUAACAGCUUUACGGACUCAGUUUUGAAAUUGACACAUCACCCAAAACAAGCAGGUAACUUGCUUUUGCUUUAUGCACCAGUUCAUUUCAUCAAGUUAUAAAUACAACAACAACAACAACAACAAACCCAGUGUAUUCCCACUUUGUGGGGUCUGGGGGGGGUAAGAUGUACGCAGUCCAUACCUCUACCUCUGAUGAAGUAGAAAGGCUGUUUCCGAAAGACCCCCGGCUCAAGUUACGAGAUAUCAAACAAACACAUAGUACAGCACAGAAGCAGAUGACAUAACAUAGAUACUGCAGCCAUAAGGAAUAUAAAACAGAGAAAUUUGAGAUAGAUACAAUAUUUAUGCAAUCUACAUAAGUCAUUAUUAAAUAAUUAUUCAAUAUGUUUGUGCAAAUGAAGGAAGAUUCAUGUGGUGGGAGUUAUUGAUACUCCGGGCUUAUAACAAGCAGAUUUGAAGAUAUACUUUUAUAAAUUUUAUUUUCACUCAUAUUGGUACUAUAUUAGGUUAUCAAGAAUGUAUUACAUAUUCUUAUAAGAAAAAUCACUUUGUCAAAAGUGUGCAAGUGUUGGAUUACAUUGGGUAUGUUGUUGUCCUUUGUAUAUUUUACUAUAAUUCAUUAAUUUAGGUAUCAAAAUAUAUACUAUCAUUACUUUUAUUAAUAAAUAAAUAUUUGAUACACGUGCAACGCAUGUAUGCUAAACUAGUUGUAUUAAAAGAGUAGGGUGUAUAAGAAUAAAAUGGUAUAUGGUGUAUAAUUAAUACAAUUAGGGGUCGUUUGGUAGAAUGUGUUGACGAAAAUAAUGCAUGCAUUAUUCUUGUGCACUGUUAAUUAAAGGCUCGAGAAAUGAAGAAGGAGUAGUGUAUUAGAUUUCUGUAUUAUCCAAAGGUUACAAAGAUAUAUAUACAAGUAAAGGAAAGACUGACUAAGGUAACUAGAUAUCUAAAUACCUAGAAAUUAGCUAGAAUAUUAUAUACAUUUAAUAGAAUAUUAUAUACAUUUAAUAAACCUCAAAUGAGGGAUAGAAAUUUGUACAAUAUAUUACACAAUCAAUCAUGUCCCAAUACGCCCCCGCAAGUUGAAGGUGGCAUCAAUAACCUUUAACUUGGAUAGAUGUUGAUGAAACAACAGACGAGGCAAAGGCUUUGUAAGUGUGUCCGCGAGCUGAUCAGCAGCAUGUAAAUGCUGAAGGAGCACUUGUUUUUGCUGCACUUGAUCUUUAACAAAGUGAAAAUCAACUUCAAUGUGUUUCAUCCUACUGUGUACCGGAUUUUGACAAAGAUAGGUAGCACCAACAUUAUCACAAUAGAUUAUGGGUAGAUCAGGAAGUUGCACAUGUAGUUCUACAUGAAGUUUUUGAACCCAAUUGACCUCAGCAAGUGCAGAAGCUACUGCACGAUACUCUGCUUUGGAGGAGCGCGCAAUUGUGCGUUGCUUCUUGGAUGACCAGCUAAAAGGAUUUGCACCAAGGUACAGGAUAUAUCCAAAAGUGGAGUUCCUGUCAUUAGUGUCACCAUCCCAAUCUGCAUCUGAAUACAUAAGCAAUCCAGGAUGUGUCUUACUUAUUAUCUGUAAGCCAUGACUUUUGGUAUACUGGAGGUAUCGCAAGAGUCUCUUAACAAAAGGCAUGUGUGUUUGUGUAGGAGCACGCAUGAAUUGAGAGAAGUUGUUAACUGCAAAGCUUAUAUGUGGUCUGGUGAAUUACAGUUAUUGAAGUUUACUAAGUACUUGACGAUACAAAGUGGCAUCAGCCGAAGGUAUGUCAUCCUUUAAGGAUAAUGAGGUAAUGGAACUCAUGGGAGUUGUAACAAGCUUACAUUCAGACAUUUUAUGGGCAACAAGAAAAUCUGAAACAUACUUGGCCUGAGAGAGAACGAUCCCUUCUUUAGUGCGGAGAACUUCAAUACCCAAAAAGUAGUGGAGAUUUGAGAGAGAAUCUGGCUUUUAAUCCAUUUUCUUAAUAACCUCAGAGUUCGAUCCAGUAAUAAUUAUGUCAUUAACAUAUACAAGAAUGUAGACCAAUGUUUCAUUUUGAUGACGAAUAAAUAGAGAAGAGUCAGAGUUAGACUUUUGAAAGCCAAUCUGAAGCAAGAAUUGUGUUAACUUAGAGUUCCAAGCUCGAGGGGCCUGCUUAAGUCCAUAAAUUUCUUUCUUUAAUUUGCAUACAUACUUAGGAAAAUCAGGAUGAGCAUACCCAUGAGGUUGACACAUAUAAACAUCUUCUACAAGGUGACCUUGAAGAAAUGCAUUAUUCACAUCCAGUUGGUGCAAAUGCCAAUUUUGCUGAACUGCAAGUGAUAAAAUGAGUAACAAUAACAGGUUUUACCACUGGACUGAAUGUAGAGUGAUAAUCCACAAAUCGAUCAUUGAGUGAAUCCCUUUACAACUAGCCGAGCUUUAUACCUAUCAGCACUUCCAUCUAAUUUGGUUUUGAUAUGAUAGAGCCAUUUACAAUCAAUAAUAUUUUGAGAAGAGGAUGGCGGUACAAGCUCCCACGUCCUGUUGUUCAUCAACGCCUCAAACUCAUAUUUCAUCGCUUCUCUCUAGUUUGCACUCUUUUGAGCUUGGUUAUAAGUGGUGGAAAGUGGUUCAGUUAAUGCAACUGCAAGAUAAUCAAAUUCUUGCAUGGAUUUGGUAAUAUUAUUUUGUGAACGAGUAACAGGUCGAUGAAUGGAUGGUUGUUGGGUACGUGCGGAAGCUGUAGAGGAUUGGUGAUGGUUGUUUGAUGGAAUAGAUGGGGUGGGGUCUGGAGUUGGUAUAGAUAAAGGGGGUGUCGGGGUGUGCUGAUUUUGGCAUUGAUACUGGAUUAGUGGUUGUUUGGUGGGUGGGACAACUGUCGGCUGUGUGGAGCAAUCUGAGCCGGCGGCAGGAGUUAGCGUUGCUGCCAAAAUGCACCUGAAGAGGAACCUGCAGGAGGAGUCGCCGACAAUUCUGGAGCAACCUUGAUUGGCUGGAGAAUCUCAUAAUCCACUGGAGGCACAAACUUGAUACUAAGGUUAUUCGACUCUUUGUACAAGAUAUUCCACUCUAACUUUGAAAUUCCUUUGUCUUUUAAAGAAGAAAAUAUAUCAGAAAAGGAAAAUUUAUUUUCAUAAACAAUAACAUCUCGUGAAUUAUAUAUCCUUCGUGAAAUAAGAUCAUAACACUGAGGGCUGUGAUGGGUUUUAGAAUAGCUCAAGUAAACACAAGGAGUGGACUUGGGUUCUAAUUUGUGUUUGGCAUAUGGUUUAAGCCAUGGAUACCAAAAGUACGAAUGGAUUGAUAAUUUGGAAUUUUUCCAAAUAAUCGUUGGUAUGGAGAAUCAUAAUGAAGUGUGCCUGUGGGUAGUCUAUUAAUCAAUAAUGUGGCUUGUCGACAGGCAAAGGACCAAAAUACUGGAGGCUUGGUGUAAAAUGGUUUUUGCUGUUUCAAUGAUGUGCCGAUGUCUACCUUCAGCCAUAGCUACUCGUUGUGGAGUGUAUGGUAGCGAUACAAGGUGUUCAACGCCACUGGUGUGAAGAAAUGAAUUGAGACCUUCAAAUUCACCACUUCCAUCAGUGUAAACUGAGAGUAUUUUUGUAUGAAAAUAAUUUUCAACAAGUGGUUUAAAUUUAGAGAAAACUGUUUUGACCUCACUUUUAUUUUUAGUGUGUAUAGCCAAAUGUAUUUUGUAAAUUGAUCAACAAAAAUUACAUAAUAUAAUUUUUUUUCAAUUAAUAAAACAGGUGAUGGGCCCCAUACAUCACUGGAAAUAAUUUGUAAUGAUUUUUUGCUCACCAGAGUAUUCUCAGAAAAAGGUUGCCGAUGACUUUUAUUAGAAGAGCAGAAAUUACAAUGAUCAAACAUUUCAGAAUUUGAAAUUGGAAUUGAAAACUUUUGUUAAGAGUGUUUGAAGCACUCUUUUAUUUAGGUGUCCUAAUUUUCAUUGCCAAGAUUGUUGAGAUUCUGCUAUAUAGGAUUGGUAGCUCAUAUUACCUUGGGAUCCUUCAUAAAGUCCUUUUUUAUUCUGGCCUCGUGCCAACGGUGCCCCCGUACUCAGGUCCUUCACAAGAAAAUCAAAAGGAAAAAAAAUCUAUGGAUGUCAGAUUAUCUUUGCAAAAUUGAGACACAGAUAUAAGGUUACGUUUAAUCUCGGGUGCACACAAAGUAUUUGAAAGAUGAAACUUUUCAUUUGAAGCAUUUAUUUGAACAUGACCAAUGUGAGUUAUAGGAAUUUUGUUACCGUUGCCCAUGGUAAUAUUGUCAGUACUAGUGUAGUCAUCCGGAUGUUGAAGAUUUUGAGAAUCCGCAAUCACAUGAUACGAUGCUCCUGAAUUGACAACCCGAGGCAUAGAAACAAAGUUUGCUCUGGUUUUCAAGUGAUUGUGGGAGCAUGAACAACACAUAUUGGUAGUAUGCCUAGUGCGAUCACAUAGCUGACAAACUGUACGAUUUUGUCGAGAGGUUGUUGGAUGCCAAUUUGGUCAUUUAACUUGACUUUCAUUAGAAUGUAUGCCCUCCAAUCCCGAAUGAGUAGACACAUAUAUGAUAUAAUACAAAUCAGUUAUCACUUGUACAUACUAGAACGCUACAUAAGAUAUGGGUGUCUACCUGAGUUUGAGCACCUAUAGAGAAAGCUCGGACAUGAUAUUGUCGAUGAGGAAUUUUCUGGCAAUGAGUAUUUUGAAUUUUGCCUAUAUCAUUGAUGCUAUUUUUUAUUGAUUGUUUAGUUUUUUGGAUUAAAAAUAUAGUGUAUAAAAAUAUGAAUAGUACCCCGUAUUAUAAACGUAUGGUUUAUAAGGUAUAAAAAUAAUACAACUAAUACAUAUAUUAUUUUCUCUAAUACCUUGCACUAAAUGACCUCUCCAAAAUCUCUUCCUUCCUAAUAGGUUGAUUGGUGACAAAUGAAGUGCAUCAAUUACUUUUGGCACAACUUGUGGUGUCUUGGCCUUCUGUGUCUCGUUGCUCUAGUCAAUUACUCAAUAGUACUGCUUUUCAAUAACUCAAUAGUACAGUAUUUGUUUUAAUUUAAGUGACUUGAUUCCAUUGUACGCAACAUUUAAAAAAUAAAAAGAUACUUUUGAAUUUAAUGAUCUUAAAUUAAUAAUGUGUAUGAUCAUUUAAAUCUUAUAAUUUUAAGCUUUUCAUGUAGAAUGUUAGAAUUGAAAAACUAACUAAAUAUAAAAAGAAACAUUCUUUUUGAAACAAACCACAAAACAAAAAGCAGGACACUUAAAUUGGAAUGGAGGAAGUAUAUUAGUUCUAACAGAUUUAUUUUGUUGAUUAAUCUUCACUUAAUAAUCCUACUGAGUUUAAAAAUGUAACUAGACUCUGUCACACCCCUUUUUUGAACGUAUUCCAAAAGAUUUAUAUUUUUAAGUUCGAAAGGGUUUUAUUUAUUAAAGUGACAAAGAUGAAAACUUGUUUCGAAAAAAGGACUAUUUAUAUUUUUUAUUCAGAGUCGCCACUUGGCAUAAUCCGGUGUGCCAAGUCACCUUUGGAAAAUCCUUUUCGAAACCAUUUGACUCUUAAACUGGUUUACAAAUAGAGAUUCCGGUUAAGGAAUUCUGUUGACCAAGGGGAAGGUGUUAGGCACCCCUCGAUCCCGUGGUUCAACCACGGUAGCUUGGGUAGAGUGUAUCAACUAUUUUGGCAUUACGAAAUGUACAAACCACACAGAAAAGCACACACAAUAAUCAAACAAUAACAAAACAAAACAAAAAUGUAAAGUCCAGUCCAAUUAUUACAACCCGAAAUAAAAUACUGAAAUAACCUACACUAGUCCUAAACCAUGCUUUACCCGAUGCCUCGGGCCUUGAUCACGA